rnacentral:rRNA from 1 species
CCUACGGGUGGCUGCAGUGGGGAAUAUUGGACAAUGGGGGGAACCCUGAUCCAGCCAUGCCGCGUGUGUGAAGAAGGCCCUCGGGUUGUAAAGCACUUUCAGUGAGGAAGAACGCCUGGUGGUUAAUACCCAUCAGGAAAGACAUCACUCACAGAAGAAGCACCGGCUAACUCCGUGCCAGCAGCCGCGGUAAUACGGAGGGUGCGAGCGUUAAUCGGAAUUACUGGGCGUAAAGCGCGCGUAGGUGGCUUGAUAAGCCGGUUGUGAAAGCCCCGGGCUCAACCUGGGAACGGCAUGCGGAACUGUCAAGCUAGAGUGCAGGAGAGGAAGGUAGAAUUCCAGGUGUAGCGGUGAAAUGCGUAGAGAUCGGGAGGAAUACCAGUGGCGAAGGCGGCCUUCUGGACUGACACUGACACUGAGGUGCGAAAGCGUGGGUAGCAAACAGGAUUAGAUACCCGAGUAGUC